UUGAAGAACAAGAAAAAUAUAACUCUUCCACUAAAGGUAAAUAUUAAUGUAACUUUUAACCAUUCAUACCGUUACUUUUAUAAUGUGUAAGAGUUAUGAUACUGUUGGAAUAAAGACCAAAACUAUUUAAAGGUAGUUAUUAUUCUGACAUUUAAUAGAUAGUUAUAUCUCUGAAGUGAUUUUGCCACUUUUUAAUUCUUUCAUAUUAAACAAAUUCAUAUUAUACAAUUUAUAUCAUGGAGGGAAACAUCUUAAAACUAAAAAUAGCAUUGAUGCAAAAUUCCUUUAUCUACACUGAUAACUAAAACAAUUAUUCUGUAAAUUAAUAAUACACAUCUUACAAGAUAGUAUAUUAUUUUAUUAUAAGAAUUUGUGGCUUAUCUGUUACUUCUUCCUGGUUUUCCUUGGAUUAAUUCUAUAUUCCUGACCUCAUAGAUAAGGGAUUUGAUUCAGAUCCCCACUUCUCUUUCUGCGUAGGGUCUGCUGUACAUAAAAGAAAAUCCCUACAUCUUACUGUCUAGAUAGAACGAGAUUCCUGAGACUUCUCAUCCUUCCUGCAGCCAGGCAUGUUCGGAGCAGCUACCUAAGUAUUGAGAGCUCUGGGCUUCAGUAUUGUCGGAGUCUUAAUCCUACCCAUCUGAGAGAUAUAGGAUUUAGAAUUCAACCAACCCAGUCACCUGAGCUAUUUCUGUUAUCCUCUUUGACUUUUGAAUCCCAACCUAUUUUUUAUCUUUUCACUUAAAUUUCCAGUGAGUCUCUGGCUUCCACCCUGGACUUUUGUCCUACCCACAUCACUUCUCAUUCCUAACUAUUUUUGACCCAAUUAUUAUCUUUUUGAAUAUGAGUUUAUAAGUCAGUGCAAUAGUGUUUUAAUAAUACUUUAACUGUGUGAUGUUUAUAGGUAUAUUUAUUGGAUACUUAAAAGCAGUUUGAACUUAUUUGUUUAUUUUAGUAAUGCUCAAAGCUAUUCAUGAUCACAGACAGCACCAUCCAUAUUCAGGAUAUCUGCCCUUGGGUUUGGAGAAAUAUCUCAGUGGUUAAGAACAUGUUCUGGUCUUGAAAAGGUACUGAGUGCAGUUCCCAACAUUCACAUUAAGCAAACCACAACCACCUAUAGGUCUAGUUUCAUCACCCAGUUCUCUCAUCUGACCUCUGUGUGUACCUGCACACAAAUGGCUCACAUACAAAUGCUCAGGCAGGCGCGCGCGCGCGCGCGCACACACACACACACACACACACACACACACACACAAACACACACACACACAAAGAUCCAUUCCCUUUACUAUCAGUAGUAGAGAAUGAAAAGGUUGUUUUCUUCACUUUUUUCACUAUACUUUGAGAAUCUUGUUUUUUUAAAAAACUCAAAUACCAAAGGCAUUAUUUAUAACUUUUAAUUAUACCUAGGAUAUGCUGUGAAUCUCAGUAUGGUUGAUAAUAUCCAAUAAUUUGGUAUUCAAUAAUAUUUAAUUAUCAGAUAAUAUUCUGUUUAGUCUAAAUUUAUAGAGAAUAGAAUUAAACAUCAGCCAAUAAAGUAUAUUUGAUCAUAUACUGACAACAAGUAAUAGCUGAAGCAAAAGGCUCUUCAUUGAAAUGAGGAAGCUGUUAUCUUGGGAUUCAGUAAGCUCAUGACCGACCAUCUUCUUCUCUUAUUUUAUGUAUCAGAAGAACUUUACAUUCAAUACUACAAAAGUGACUGGUAUUUUUUUUAAUUAGAUUCAGAGGAAUAUAUCUAGAUUUACAAGGUUAAAAAUGUGGUAAAAUACUUUGAAUAAUUAACUCUGAUUCAUUUUCCAAAAGAUACAAAGAAAACAAUUUAUUAGAACAGUUCAUUGGAGAUUUUCUGUAUAUUAUUAUCAACUAAAAGCCACAGGUGUCAGAGGAACCCUGUCUCCAAUAAAAC
rnacentral:lncRNA from 1 species